GAGACUCUGUGCGUGUGCAUAUCAAUAAGCGGAGGAAAAGAAACUAACAAGGAUUCCCUUAGUAACGGCGAGUGAAGCGGGAAGAGCUCAAAUUUGAAAUCUUCAAGGUUCUACCUUGACGAAUUGUAGUUUAUAGAAGUGUUUUCUGUUAGUAGGAGUGGCAAAAGUUCUUUGGAAUAGGACAUCAUAGAGGGUGAGAAUCCCGUAUUUGGUCAUUCUUCUAGCGUUGUGAUACACUUUCAACGAGUCGGAUUGUUUGGGAAUGCAGUCCAAAAUGGGUGGUAAAUUUCAUCUAAAGCUAAAUAUUGGCGAGAGACCGAUAGCGAACAAGUACCGUGAGGGAAAGAUGAAAAGAACUUUGAAAAGAGAGUUAAACAGUACGUGAAAUUGUCAGAAGGGAAGCGUUUGACACCAGUGUUGUUUUUCCGAAAAUCAAUUACGAAUGUUUUAGUUUUUGAGGAGUUAUGACUUCAUCGGCUUGCUUCUCUCUUUAUGAAACUUUCUUAAUGCACUUUUCGGUUAACAAGUCAACAUCAAUUUCUUUUGUUGUAAAAGGGUAUGAGGAAGGUGGCUUUCUUUUCGGAGAAAGUGUUUAUAGCCUUGUAGCCUCUGCAAUCGGAGAGAUUGAGGUCUGCAGCGUAGAUCCUUCGGGGUUAGAUACAGUUUGUGCUAAGCUAUAGCUUUUUAUAGACAACUUGUUGACUAUAGUUUAGUCUUGUAGCUUACUCGCUUAUGCUAUUUUACCUACGCUUAGGAUGUUGAACUCUAUCACACACAG
rnacentral:rRNA from 1 species